UACGAAGGGGCUAGCGUUGCUCGGAAUCACUGGGCGUAAAGGGUGCGUAGGCGGGUCUUUAAGUCAGGGGUGAAAUCCUGGAGCUCAACUCCAGAACUGCCUUGAUACUGAAGAUCUUGAGUUCGGGAGAGGUGAGUGGAACUGCGAGUGUAGAGGUGAAAUCGUAGAUAUUCGCAAGAACACCAGUGGCGAAGGCGGCUCACUGCCCGAUACUGACGCUGAGGCACGAAAGCGUGGGGAGCAAACAGGG
rnacentral:rRNA from 1 species